GCACUGCUGGCCGAGUGGUUAAGGCGAUGGACUAGAAAUACAUAGGGGUCUCCCUGCACAGAUUCGAAUCCUGUCGACUGUG
rnacentral:tRNA from 1 species